rnacentral:lncRNA from 11 species
AAGCUAUACUCUGAGGAUCCUGGCCUGCUGUUACAUGUGCUCAUCAUCAAAUGCAGGAAGAGCAAUCCUAGAUGCUAACCAGGAAUUACUACCUCUAGGAGAUGAGAAAACAUUCCUGCCUCCUCCUGGCACCAUGUGUAUUUCUGCAUUCAUCUUCAAGUCAACUUAUGGACAAGCCUAUGGAUUUCACAGGGCUUUCUCUGGCAAGAGUGGUUUUGCUAUCGCCAUAGAACAGAACCAGCAGCUUCUUUCAUUUGCUUGCAGCAUCUUUCACUGGCCUCUAGAUGCCACACUUGUACUUUCCAUUUGCAUGUCUUCUGAAUGAAGGUUACCCAAUACCCAUGCAAUCCCAGAAGGGAUUGCAACAAGGGGUGUUUUAGAAAUGCAAACUAAUUGGUUGUUGGUUAACAUAACAUACAUUAUACCGAGGUGGGGAUUCCUGUUGAACCUUGCUAGCAGGCAAGAGAUGUUUGUCUAGACUCCUCUGGCAUUAUACUCACAUGUGCCUGCAUUCAAGCUGAUUUUGCAGAUAUCUACAGAGCAGCUUCUAAGAUGAGUAUAUGGGAGAAGCCCAGGAGACCUCUUGCGAAUGAAAGGGAAUGCUUCCCACCCAAUGGAGGGUAGCUGCAAAUCAUCUUUAAAAGAAAAUAUGGCUUCUAAAAUCUGUUGUUAUGAUCAGAAAACUCAGGAAUAGCACAAACAAGUCAUCAAUCGUCUAAUAAAAAAAGCCAUCUUAUUUGUGAAUUUCUGUUCUCCUUGUUGGAAAGAAGACAAGUAAAACUGGGAAAACAC